CGUUUUCAUCCUUGUUUUCGUCGCUAUUUUGACGGUUAUUUCCAGAAGCUUUUCUUAUUUGUUGGUAAAGCCAAAUUGAAGAAAGUAUGCUCGGUUCAGAGGGCGCUAUAUAUUAAUCCUUCCAGAAGCGGACGUGACGGGCGGAAUCUGCUACUAUUUUCUUUCUGGCCGCCAUUUAAUGUUAAACAUGCUCAUAAAUGAUUUUUUACUCCUUUAGCACCGAAAGAAUAUCUGUAAUAUUACGUGAAUAUCUGUAAAAGUCACGUUUUUAUUAGCUCUGUCUGCUAGCAUAGCAUCUCUUCUUCACUGGUGGAAUAACUGCAUGCCAACCGACCACUGGGUUACCAGCGCCCUCUGCUGGUCUAAACAAAUAUCUGACGUAAAUACAGUAAAAUGACUGUUUUUUAUUUUUUAAAGUCCAAUUGUUAAGGCACAAAAUAAAUUUUCAGUUGCACUUUUAAAAAGAAAAAUAACUAUUAUGCAGUUUUGAAUUGUUUACUAUAGAACCAGAAUUUGAAUUAAUGUUUCUUCUUCAUUUGUAUUAUUCCUUUAUGUAUUUCAUUCAAGAUUUAUUUUUAGUUAAAUUGCAUCAUUUUGCUUAGUUUAUCAAGGGAUUCUUUUGACAAUGAAAAAUAAAAAGAAAAUAGUACAGUAUUUUCCCCAAAAAAAUAAAGGAAUAUUUUUCAGUCAUUUGUCAACAUUCCCAUUUUGUAAAAUAAAUCGUGAGAAAAUCGUAUCGUGAACCCAUUAGCGUGAAUCGAAUCGUAUCGGGAGUUGAGUGAAUCGUUACAUCCCUAUUGGAUAUACAAUAUUGCUCUUGCAACAUUCUACGACACCUGCAGUGGCGCUUGAAAUUUCAUUUUGUGUAGCUGAAAGAAACAUUUGUUUGACCAGGACCGUCUUCAAAUUGGAGUCAUUAAGAAUGUUUUAUUACAUUUUAAUUAAAAUUUUGUGUUUCAGGUGGAAGAACGAGCCUUACCCUUUACCUGAGUACGUGGAUGAAGUGGAUCUGUAAAUUUUGCAGUUUCUCAACUUACAUUGAACAAAGAAUACUAAAUCAUUACAAAGCUGACUAUGUCAAGCAUUUGAGGAGCUACCAGCUGAAGAAAAGCCUGUCUCCUUGUCUACUAGUUCAAAAGGAAGAACUCAACGACUACACUCCUCUUGUGGCAUACUUUGUUCGAGGCUGCCUUCUGAUUACGCCCAGAAGCUUCCUGCUGAAGUAAUAGUAAGUAGUUUUUGAUGUUUUUUGUCUUUUUUGAUUACUUUAAACGUUUUUGGCAUGUUUUCAUCUU
rnacentral:lncRNA from 1 species